UACGGGGGAUGCAAGCGUUAUCCGGAUUUAUUGGGUUUAAGGGGUGCGUAGGCUGUGAGGUAAGUCAGCGGUGAAAUGCCCCCGCUCAACGGGGUGAAGUGCCAUUGAUACUGCCUUGCUGGAAUGCGGAUGCCGUGGGAGGAAUGUGUGGUGUAGCGGUGAAAUGCAUAGAUAUCACACAGAACACCGAUUGCGAAGGCAUCUUACGAAUCCGCUAUUGACGCUGAUGCACGAAAGCGUGGGUAUCAAACAGG
rnacentral:rRNA from 1 species